ACAUCCGAAAGGUCCACGGGCGCGCAUUUCAUUCAAAGGGAAAUCAAAAUGAGAAGAGAUCCACCGCACCAACCCCAAAACCCAAACCAACCCAAGCGCUCCCUCGCCCGCACGCUGUCUUUCUUCCUCCUCUCCCCACGACUCACCCAACUCGCCGCCGGCGACCUCCUGCCCUCAGCCUCCGCCCCCUACCACACCGACGGCGCCCCCCACCCUCUCCUUCUUCCCCAAGCCGCCGCGUCAAGCCUCUCCUCGCGCCCGAAACCCUAGCCCGCGGCGCGGCCAUGGCGACCGAGCUCUGGAUCCGCAGGCUCGAGGUGCGGCGCUGGGUCAGGAUGCGCCGGCCACGAGGCCAGAAGGCUGUCGGUUCCGAGAACUGGGCGGCGCACCCUGCAGCUCGGUCGACCUCCAAUGGAGAAGGCCCCGGAUCUGUACUCCCCUUCUUCCGCGACCAGCCUCGACGCCCGCCUUCUUCCCAGGAGCGGCGGCCACGACGGCCCGUCGCUCUCGUCUUCUCCCGCCGCUGCGGAGGACGAGCCACGACGAGCAGCAGAGGAGGCGUGCCGCUGCUACCACGACGCGACGUCCCAUGCUCUUGUCCUCUCCCGACGCGGCAGAGGACGAGAUGCGGCGAGCUGCAGAGGAGGCGUGUCGUGUGGCUGGACCAAGGUAUUGCUCUGUAGGGCGGGGCUUGGCCAUCUUCUUCGCCCAGCACCACCACCACCACCGUCAGAUGCUGUGAACGCGAGCAGCUGCAGCUGCAGGCGCCGUACGACCACGACCAGAAGCACCAUCAUCUCUGGCAUCGGGCGCGCUACGAGGACGGCCCGUCUCUGCUUCAUGUCACGCCCUGCUCGUGUCCAUGGCGGGUGCGUGCGCGGUGGCCGCGCCAUCCCGGGCAACAGUCUCCGGCCGCGGCGCAGCCUUGCCGCCGGGGCGCGGCUUCCGCGUGAGCUGCCGGCGCUCGGCGAGGAGACGCGUCGGCGGUCGCGCUCGCGUGUCCCGCGACACCAACGGUGCUGAGGCUGAGCCGGACAGCAAGGGUCCAAUCCCGCAGGAUGACUCGGGCUACCUCCUGACGCUGGGGCUCGGGUCCGGCGGCGGCGCGGCGACCGUGAAGUAUGACAGCAUGCUCCAACCAGUCAUCUCCGGCGUGCUCACGCAUCUGCACGACCAGAAGCACAAUCAUGUUUUACUUCGGUGGUAAAGAGACAUCCUUUCCUUCCUCUCUUUCAUCUUGCAACUCUUUAUUUCCCUCCUGGGUUUGGUUUGGUCUGGGGUUUGCUCGGAUCCAUGUAAUACAGUAGUUUGGAGGUGGUUUCAGUUGACUGGGACACUCAUGGAUGGAAAAGAGCAGUGGCGUAGCUAGGAAUUUAGAUCAGGGCGGAGGCUGUGGCGGUGAAUAUACUACAAUUUCUUCAAUUACUCUCCUGCACUUGUGUUAGGUACCAGGUCGAUCUAUUACAGAUACAAGGCUCAAAUUCGAAUUACACUCAGCUUCUCGCUGUUCUUGGGAAAGAAGGAAGGUAGGUGGGGAAAGCAGAGGAGGGGAGAGCCGCCGUUCGUUUUGAUCCUUCUGGAUGUGUCUUCUUUUGCGCGUGAGGGGAUAAGUAGGCGCCGGUGCGACAUGGACUCAGCGGUCCCAUUCCGGCCCGAUGAAUCUCCUGUUGGGCUGCGCUAUCCUCUUGGGCCUGCUGCUGAUUCGCCUUGCCGCCAGGCCGUCGUUGGUGACAUGGCUCGCUGCCGUGGCAGCCCCCUGGGUCUUGGCUGUCAAGGCAGGUCAUGCGCUGACAACUUGCUCUGGAGUUUGCUUUGAAAAUAAAUGAAAAAGGAGCAACAACUUCUUUUUUGCAUGUUUCAGAAAAAGAGAUGCAAUGUCUUCAGUCCUCAUUUUGUGUGACAAUAAAAAGUUUAUGAGUUUCAGUUUAUCAAUUAUGGAACGAACCAUAAUAAUCUGUCAUUUCAAUUUAUCAAUUCCAUAAUUUCGUGCCAACAUUAAUAGCGGGGAAUGGUCGACCAUUUUAUGUUUCUUGGCUUAACCCGUUAUAAGGCCCAGUUCUUUUGAGCAGAUUGUGGAGAAUUUUGGUCUGGAAAAUCUGGAGCCAAAAGAACUCGUUUUGACUUCCAAAAUCUGGAGAGGAUUCUCUAGAAUCCUAGUGCAAUCCAAAAGCACCCAAAAAGCUUGAUUUUCCCAGAAUCCUGAGAUUCUGGCAAGUCCCACCAAUGAAAACGCUUCAAAAUAGAAGAGUACCCCUAUCCCAUCGCGAAAUUACACCAGGAAUGCCGCUGCCCAUCCAUGCGUUGGACCAGAGGAAAUGAGCGAGCGGCCGCUCGACCCCUGUUUGCAUUGGGGGAAAAAGGAGUCCCCAGACGCAGCGACGGCUCGGGUUGCCGCACUGCCGCCGGACCAACCUCGUCGGUUAGGCCCUUGCCGCCGCCGCCCGCCUGGCCCUUGCCGCCGCCGGCCAGGUUCCCGCCGCCGCCGCCCGCCUUAUCUCCCUCUGCCGCCCCUCUUCCUUCGCUGCUCGUCCUCCCCUCCGUCGUGUCUUCGCCAACAUCGACGGCCACUGGCGCUGCACCUCGACGGCCACAAGCAGCCCACGCGAGGUGCAGACCACACCCACGGUGAGGCAUCCUCUUUCCCCAUCUCGUUGUUCUUCUUUUUUCUUAUGCUAUGGAUUUGUUAGAUAGAUGGAUGGAUUGAUUGCUGAUGCUGUUAGAUGGAUGGUGCUAAUUUUUUGCACCCAGAUUGCUGAUGCUGUUAGAUGGAUGGAUGGAUUUGUUAGAUAGAUGGAUGGAUGGAUUGAUUGUUGAAUACAGCUUGUUUGCCUAUUUACAAAAAAUGAAGAACUAGAAAGAGAUAUCCACAAGCAUAAUUUUCACUAAUAAUUCUAGUGUUGGGCACUUGGGUAUACAUUUCUUUAUUUUGGUUUGGAGCCGUUCAACAAUAUGGCAGUAUGAAUAUCAUUUUCUAAUGUAUUGGUAUGUGAAUUCCUAGUACAUGACACUAUUUUCUAUGAUGAUGCUAAUUUAAGAUGGAGAAAGUCAAAGAACCCAAAGCAAAUUGGGACAGUGUUGCUCAUACAAUUUUUAUGAAUGCGUGCGUAGAGGAGGUUCGAGCAAAUAACCGCAAUGGUGGUUAUUUGUCGGACAUAGGACAAGCUAAUUUGCAUAAAAAGUUCAACGAACGCUCUGGAAGAAACUAUUCGACCCGGCAAAUAAAAAAUAGGUGGGGUGUAUGUAGAAGCGAGUACAACACAUGGAAGACAUUGAUCCAACAAGCAUCUGGCUUAGGAAGAGAUGCGCAUAUACACACUAUUGCAGCUACAAAUGAGUGGUGGGCAUUGGAGAUAAAGGCACAUCCAGAAGCUGCCAAGUUUCGCUAUGCUCCACUAGCGGAGGAGGAAAAAAUGUCAGAGGUUUUCGAUACUACUUGUGUCACAGAUGAGCAUGCGAGGGUGCCAACUCCCUCAUAUCAAGGUGAUCCCUCUCAAAUCAGUUUGGAGGAUGACUCAGGGUGUGAUAGUCAUGAAGGGCAAGUUACCCCUGUUCAAAAUCGAGCCAAGGGUGGGAAGAAGAGGGCGUGUCCUUAUUCGCCAAGUCCAAAGAUGAAUGACAAGUGAGCAAGUGAGAAUGCUAAAAAUGAGGCUUUUGUACGCAUGGUGGACAUCUUUGGUGCAAGAGACAAGAGGGAUGCAGAGGAGAGGGCAAGGGAGAAGAGGGAUGAAGAGGAAAGGGCAAGGGAGAAGAGGGAUGCAGAGAAGAGGGAUGUAGAGGAGAGUGUGGAUCCAACAAGACAAGAGAUUAAACAAAUGAUGGCCAUGGUGGAAGCGGAUGGUGCAAAACCAGGAAGUGAUGAGCAUUUCUAUGCUACAUUUCAUUUCAUGGAAAAGAAAUAUCGUGAUGUUUUCUCCACUUUCACGGCUCAUGAAUCUGUUGUAAGGCUUGGAUGGAUAAAGAGGAUGUGGGAGCUCAAUAAUAAGUAGAACAUCUAUGUUUUAAUUGCUUUCUACCAGACUAUUUACUUGUAAUGUUGUGAGCUAAGCUACUUGCUUUGGAGGUGUACUUUUGUGAACUAAGCUAUUUGCUUUGGAGAUGUAUUGUUAUCUGAACUGUGUUGUAUCUAA